UAACAUUGUAUUUUAGUGUUUUCAGAAUAAAAGCUAAGUGGAAGUGAUAACUUGGAAAAGCUGGGCAAAACAAAGGAAAAAUGACCUGCGAUGGCACAAGUGAUGGAACAUCGGUAUUGCGACGAAUCGUCAGCCAAAUCUAGAAGGAUACCUUACUGGAAUCCAAAUGAUGGUACGAUCCGACAGGAUGUCAAACAUUCGAUGGACCAUCAACUUGCACCGUCAACUUGAAGAUGGAAAUACCAAACACUAGAAACAAGUGACGGUAUGCUUCGAUAGUCCGUCGAACCUUUAACGGACCAUCUACCUCAACUGUCGAACAUAAGCAACACUCAACAUCACUGGAAACCCAGCGACGGUAUAUGUGACAACACCGUCGGACCUGCGACGUACCGGACUUUCACCGUUGGUUUUGAUGCAGCGAAGUUAUGUUUGAAUUUUGGAACCCUGACUUUUGGGAAUACUAUAAAUACUAAGUGCUAGGGUUCAGUUGGCACUAUCCAUGCUUAGACACCUUUAAUUUUUCUUAGUCUCCAUCUUAGCUUAGUUUUUCUACAUUCUCACCUACUCUUUGACUAUUCUUUUUAGGGGAUAGAUCUGAGAUCUACAUUUCUAGAUCUAGACAGAUCUAGCUUUCAUCUUUCAUUUUCCAUCAAGUUUUCUAGAUUGUAAAACUCAUUGGUAACUUAGUUCAUAUUGGAAAACUAAGCACUAGCUUGUGGAUCCAAUCACUUCAUCUCUAUUGAGGACCCAAGAACUUAUUCUUGUAAUUGUUGUAAGUAACAUUGCAUUAUUUAUGAGUAAUACAAUGAUAUCUUCUAUUUUUUCAAUGGAAAUGUGUGGCUAAGCUUCCAUAACUAGAGUUAUGGAAGCCUUGAUGUAAGUAACUAGUUUUGGGUUGUGAAUCAAUUUGAGUUCCAUGAACACUUGAUGUUGUAUAAGCCUUUCUUCGGUUUUAAUGACUUUUCUUAGUUGCAGACUAGACAAAGUCAGCACUAUAACAUCACUUGUUCGAGAGGAAGGUGUUGUUGGGUUACUUCAAUGAAGCAAUCAUUUGUCAGGAAGGAAGGUACUUGUCGAGCAAUGUAACAAUUUCUCUUAUUUAUAAAUAGAACAAUCAAUACUAUAAAACCACAUGUCCAAAGGGAAAGUGUUGUUGGGUUACUUCGAUGAAGCAAUCACUUGUCCGAGAGGAAGGUGCUUGUCGAGCAAUGUAACGAUUCUUCUUGUUCGUGACUUGAAAGGUAAUCCCUUGUAUGCGCACUAGAAAGGUCAGCAAUAGAACAUCACCUAUCCAAGAGGAAGGUGUUGUUAGGUUACUUCGAUGAACCAAUCACUUGUUCGAGAGGAAGGUGCUUGUGGAGAACUGUAACGACCUUUCUUGAGUGUAACAGGGAUAGCCCACGAACAUCACUUGUCCGAGAGAAAAGUGUAUGUUGGGAAAAGGAAGGAUUUACAUGCACUCUAAAGCUUCCAACCUUUAGAUUAAGGGCAAAUGCCUUAACCGGAUCUGCCUACAUGAGAAAACAACUGAAUAAACAACACGUUCGUUAAGUUUGAGAGAAUCAAAGAAUAGUCUACCCACUGAGAUCGAGAGCUGAAUGGGUAAAUAAUAGGAUUCAACUACCCUUACAACUUACGUUAACAAAUAGGACUCUAACGAGAUUCACAGCCAUAGCAGUUCACACAUCUUGGUAACCAUAACUCUGAUUUGUUUAACAUCUUGACUUACUACUUGAAAAUAGAAUUUUCAGUUUGAGUUAUUUUAUAGUAAAUUAGAUCAUACAUCAAACUAUCCAAACCCUCCAUUUAGUGGAAACUAUUAGCUAUUAGCCGAUUGUAUCACAAGUAGCUUAUAUUAACAUCUUAUUCUCUGUGGGAUUCGACCCCAACCUAGUUGGGUUCUAUAUUUGACAGCGACCGCUUACAUUCUCGUAAGAGAGGUGUAAUUUGGGCGUAUCAAAUUUUAGCGCCAUUGCUGGGGAAUAUGGUUGUCGAUUAAGUUUAUUUGUGUUAAUUGACUGACUAGUUAAAUUUUUGAAUUUUAUGUUGUUUGUUGUUUUUGUUAGUUACAGGUAUUGUGGUUGAUGCCACAAACCAGAAGUUCGGGAGAACCAUUAUUACCAUUUAAUCCUGAACCUCAACUGAUAGGUAGAAUGGCAAACCAACAAAAAGUUAACAGAUUGGCGCUUUGGCUAAUGCGGAAUUACGUCAGCAAAAUGUGGACAAUGCAGAUCGUAGAAUAAACCUAGAAAAUGAGGAUCUAGGCGAUGAUGAGUUGUUGAAUCCGAUGAAUCAGCGACGCGUCGAUGCUAUGCUUGGCCCGACAAACAGGCAUGCCAAUAGAAAUUGUUGUGGAUGGGCAAGGCCAGAACGUCAAGCAGUGCAAUUGGAUAUUGAUAAUGAUGAUGAUGAUGAUCUGGAUGGAGUAGGUGCAACAGGAGCUAUCAUUCCUCCGCCAUUAGUACCAAGGGCAAAGUUCAACACCAUAAGCACCAUGAUUCAGUUACUACAUCUCAAUGGGUUAUUUGGUGGCCUGGCAGGCGAUGACCCGAAUAUGUAUUUGAUAAAUUUUAUCACAACAUACAGAUCAUUUAAAAACCUUGGAGUUGGUCAAAAUGCUAUUCGGUUGCGGCUAUUUCUAUUAUCUCGGCCUGGAGAAGCAACUCUAUGGUUGAACGGGUUAACUCUAGGUUUCAUUACACAUCGGAAUCAAUUGAAAGAUGUAUUUCUUGAGAGAUUCUUCCCGCCAUUGAAGUGAGCACAGCUGAGGGAUGAAAUCAGCAACUUUAGACAGCUUACUACUGAAGCUCUCUAUGAAACUUAGGAGAGGUUCAAGAAGAAGCUCAGGCAGUGCCCUAAUCAUCAUUGACCAAUGUCCACCUAAUAGAGAUAUUAUAUCGAGCCUUAAAGUCGAUGACGAAGCAAGUUAUGGAUAAUGCAGCAAGUGGAGCAUUCAUGGAUCUUACUUAUCCAGAGGCAGUUGAAAUGCUUGAUCGUAUGACAAAGCAAAGUAGAGCGUGGCAUACUAGGGAGUCCGAGGUAGCAAGCUCUACUAUGUUUAUGGACAUGAUAGUUGAACAAAGGCGAAGAGAAGAAGAACGUGAGCAAGACAUGACUCACUUGAAAACUCAGAUGGAUCUGCUAACCAAGCAUUUACUAUCUGGUAAAAUGGAGCGAGUAAAAGAAGUGGGUGCUCAUGGGCGAGAUGAAUCUGAAGGCAAAGAAGAAGCAAAUUAUGUGUAUAACCAGGGUGUUUCCGAGGCAGUGGCCAAGGAAACCAAGGUCAAAACUUCUACAAAAGUAGCCAAGGAAAUCAAGGGCAAAAUUACUACGAGAAAUCAGGCUAUAGGGAGCACGACCAAGACAAUUGGAAGAAUAGGGGGAACAGGAGCGGUUUGUACGUUCCUCCUACAAAUCGUAAAGCUGCUACAACUAGUUCAGGGAAGAUGUCCAUGGAGGAAAUGUUUGCCCAAUUAAUGAAGAAUCAAGAGGCACAGACGGGCAAAAUAAUGAAAAUCCAAGAAGCACAAGCGAUCACAAUGAAUGAAAUGAGGCGAGAUAUAUCUUCUGCAAAUCAAAUGAUUGGUUCACGUACAGCUUCAAUAAAACAAUUAGAGCAACAAAUGAACCAAUUAUCUGUCUCAGUGAACCAGUGAAAUAGUGGCACACUUCCGAGCAAUACAAUACAAAAUCCUCAAAAUAACGGUGCUUAUAUGGCAAUUACCACCAGGAGUGGUAAGACACUACCAGGUCCUUCUGUGAGCAAAAAUGUUGUUAAUGAAGUAGCCGAUAAAGGUAGCAAAAAUAAAGAAAGUUUUCCAGCAGAACCUGAAAAGCUGGAAGAUAAUGAAACUCCCCCUAACAGUCAACCGAUUGAUGAGUUAGAGGAAGGAAAGCAGAAGGAAAAGGAAGUAGUUCUUACUCCUAUUCCUAGAGCACCACCUCUUUUUCCCUAUAGGUUGAAGAAGAAGGCCGAUGACAUAAAGUUUGGUAAAUUCAUGGCAAUGCUUAAACAGUUGACAAUAAAUUUUCCAUUGGUUGAAGCAUUGGAGCAGAUGCUCGGGUACGCUAAAUUUAUGAAAGACCUAGUCACUAAAAAGCGAGCAGUCAUCCAUGAGUUAAAAGAUAAUCUCCAUCACUGUGGAGCUAUUUCCACAAGGUCUUUGGUACAAAAGAAAGCAGACCCCAAAGCAUUCACUAUUCCAUGCACAAUCGGGUCCUUUGAGUUUGCUAAGGCGUUAUGUGAUCCGGGAGAAAACAUCAAUUUGAUGCCACUAGUAAUCUAUAAGAAGCUGGGUUUGGGCAAUCCUACGCCCAUAAACAUGAGAUUAGUGAUGGCCGAUACAUCAAUAAAGCGACCUGUGGGAAUACUGUAUGACGUGCUUGUCAAAGUGGAGAAUUUUAUAUUCCCUUUAGAUUUUGUCAUCUUAGACUAUGAAGUAGACUUUGAGGUGACCAUAAUCUUAGGUCGACCUUUCCUUGCCAUGGGCAGCGUGCUCAUCAAUCUGCGAGCUAACCAACUGUUAUUCAAAUUAACUGAUGAGGUUGUCAAGUUUGAUGUCUGUUAGUCCAUGAAACAACCCAAAGAAACGAGUGUGCUAUCUAUUGAGGAUGUGUAAUAUGAAGAUGAUAGAGAGGUCUCAAUACUAUAAGAAGGAUGUUGUUGAACCUCUAGCAGUGGUUAUAAUAAAUUUCAACAGUGAGGGUAUUGAGGAUUAUGAAGAGACCAUUUGUGCAUUGAAUGGAAUGGGUUCGUAUUUAUGUGCACCCAAAAAACUAAAUUUAGAUCUGAAGAAUCGACCAACACCGCCGGCUAAGCCAUCCAUUGAAGAGCCACCGGUGUUGGAAUUGAAAGAGCUGCCAAGCCAUUUAAAGUAUGUGUUUCUAGGCAAUGAAAACAUAUUACCUAUCAUUAUUGCAGCUGACUUGGAUGAUCAACAGGUGGAAGCACUUGUUUUGGUGCUUCAGAAGUACAAGAAAGCAAUAGGCUGGACUAUUGUCGAUAUUAUUGGCAUUCCUCCGGGCAUUUGCAUGCAUAAGAUACAUCUUGAGGAAAAUUGCAAGCUGACCAUCGAACAUCAAUGGAGACUAAAUCCACCAAUGGAAGAAGUAUUGAAAAGGGAGAUUAUCAAAUGGCUUGAUGCAUAGGUAGUCUAUCCUAUUUCAGACAGCAAGUGGGUGAGCCCCGUACAGUAUGUGCCCAAAAAGGAGGGCCUGAUAGUGGUCGUCAAUGAAAAGAAUAAGUUAAUUACACUCAGACCAGUCAUCGGGUGGAGAAUUUAUAUGAACUAUGGAAAUCUGAACUCGUGGACAUUAAAAGAUCAUUUCCCAAUGCCCUUUAUGGAUCAAAUACUAACUAGAUCAUUUAGCGGAAACGGGAUGGUAUUACUUCUUAGAUUGUUAUUCUGUCUAUAAAAAAAUCUAUAUUGCUCAUGAAUACCACGAGAAGACGACGUUCACAUGCCCGUAUGGCACUUUUGCAUUCAAGCGAAUGCCUUUUGAGUUAUGUAAUGCACCAGCCACUUUCCAGAGAUGUAUGACAUCCAUAUUUUCAGACAUGGUUGAAGACACUUUGGAAGUGUUCAUGGAUGAUUUCUCGGUGGUUGGAGAUUCAUUUGAGCUGUGUUUGGGGAACCUCAUAAAUCCUUAUAACGAUGUGAAGAAUUUAACCUCGUACUCAAUUAGGAAAAAUGUCACUUCAUGGUGAAGGAGGGCAUUGUUCUAAGGCACAGAAUUUCAUCAAAUGGAAUUAAAGUCGACAAGGCAAAGGUAGAAGUGAUUGAGAAAUUACCCCCUCAUAUCUCUGUGAAAUGAGUUCGUAGUUUCUUGGGGCAUGCUGGAUUCUACCGCCCAUUUAUUAAAGACUUCUCCAAAAUCGCAAGUCCACUGUGCAAACUUCUAGAGAAGGAAGCUAAGUUUGUAUUUUAUGAAGAGUGCAGGAAGGCAUUUAAAUGCCUUAAGGAGAAGCUUGUCGCUGCCCCCGUGAUCGUCGCACCUGAUUGGUCAAUGCCCUUUGAAAUUAUGUGCGACGCCAGUGGAGUGGCGCUAGGUGUUGUCCUAGUCCAAAAGCGUGAGAAGAUUUUUCAUCCAAUUUAUUAUGCGAGCAAAGCACUGAAUGGGGCACAAAAACACUACACCAUCACAGAACAAAAACUCCUUGCAGUGGUAUACGCCUUUGAAAAGUUUUGAGCAUAUCUACUAGGAACUAAGAUAGUCGUACACACUGACCAUGCUGCUUUGAGAUAUCUAAUGGCCAAAAAGGAUGCAAAGAUAAGACUGAUUCGGUGGGUUCUGCUACUGCAAGAUUUUGAUUUUGAUGUAAGAGACCGUAAAGGAUGUGAAAAUCAAGUGGCAGACCAUCUAUCAAGGCUUGAAGGGAAACAUAAAGUAGCAGGUGAAUUCGAAAUUGAUGAUGCAUUUUUGGAUGAAGAGAUCUUGGCAGCUACACUUGAAAAGAUACCCUGGUAUGCAAACUUCGCUAACUAUGUGGUAAGCAAAGUGAUUCUGGAAAAUCUCUCCUUCCAACUAAAGAAGAAAUUUCUGCGUGAUAUGGUAUACUACUUUUGGGAUGAACCAUACGUGUUUUGAAAGUGUGCUGAUAAUAUUAUAAGGAGGUGUGUCCCAGAGGUAGAGAUGGUGAAUAUCCUAGAAGCAUGUCAUUCUUCUCCUGUUAGAGGACACCACGCAGGAUAUCGAACGUCCCAAAAAGUAUUACAAAGCGGUUACCAUUGGCCCAACCUAUUCAAUGAUGGUUAUGAGUUUGUCCGAAGAUGCGACCAAUGUCAGCGACAAGGCUCGAUUUCCAAACAACAUGAGAUACCGAUGAAUAGGAUAAUGGAGGUAGAGCUGUUCAAUGUUUAGGGAAUAGACUUCAUGGGACCAUUUGUAAGCUCUUACAAUAUGAAUUAUAUUUUGGUUAUAGUGGACUACGUAUCAAAAUGGGUUGAAGCCAUUGCACUAGUCGAUAAUGAAGGGAGAAGAGUCGUUGCAUUUCUAAAAAAGCACCUUUUUUCUAGAUUUAGGGUUCCACGCACAAUCAUAAGUGAUGGGGGAUCUCACUUCUGCAACAGACUAUUCUGAGCCACAUUGGCUAAAUAUGGAGUUAAACAACAUAAGGUGGCCACCCACUCCAUACCAUCCACAAACUAGCGGACAAGUAGAGGUGUCCAACAGAGAAAUUAAAUCCAUAUUGGCCAAAAUCGUAAAUGCUAGUCAGCAAGAUUGGUCGCGUAAGCUGGAUGAUGCCCUUUGGGCAUAUCGAACAAUAUUCAAAAACCCCAUCGGCAUGUCCCCCUACCAAAUGGUUUAUGGUAAGGCGUGUCACUUGCCGGUGGAAUUAGAGCAUAAAGCUUUGUGGGCUUUGAAGAAGUUGAACUUGGAAUAGAAUGAAGCUGCGAAAUUGAGGAUGGGACAGCUUAAUGAGAUGGAUGAAUUUCAUCUCAAUGCCUAUGAGCAGGCGGACCUCUACAAAGAAAAGUCGAAGAAGUACCAUGAUCAGCGAAUCACGCAUCGUACCUUCCAAAAAGGUGAUUUGGUACUCCUUUUCAAUUCCAGGCUGAAGCUAUUUCCAGGGAAAUGUCCAAAUGGUUUGGUCCAUUUAAAGUUUACCAAGUUUAUGCAUCUGGCAUAGUGGAGAUCGAACAUGAAAAUGGCAGUACGUUCAAAGUUAACAGGCAGCGGGUGAAGUUAUAUAUCAGUCCACAAGAUGCAAUAAAUAUUGUGAUUGACAUUGAUCUCGAGGAAAUCUGAGUAAUCGAGGCAACUAAGUCAUGCCGCGAUAAUAAAUCAGGCACUAGUGAGGCAACCCAUGUUUUUGUUGUUUUGUUUCAUUCCUUUAAAGAAUAAGUAGUUGUUUUAUGCAAAACUGAAGAGUUUAUGUAAGUGUGCAGGUACCUAGGUGCUAAAAGCAGACACUAAAGAGAUUCAGGGUAAUCGAUAGAGGACUCCGACGAACCGUCGCAUAUGCGAUGGGAUGUCGAGGGCCAUCAUUGAACCUAGUUCAGAAAUAGAGAUUCUGGAAGAUAUGCGACGGCAGACACCGACGGACCAUCGUACAUCCGGCUUACCGUUGAAGUUCACCUCAAUGACAAGUUCCAGAUGAGUUCACUGGAAAGUAUAGACGGUAGAACCGACAAACCGUCGCACAUUCAACAGACCAUCGCAUACACCGUCGCACUUAACCCUAAGUCUCGCGGAUUGAAUCGGAUCGCUUUAAAUAGCCGAUUUUAAAUAUCAAAAUUAUCCAAAUGGUUUUACAUUGAUAAAGUGGAAUGGUUACUUAUAACUCCCACCUUUUCAAAUAGCCUGCACCCUUUUAUUUUCUUUAAAAACCUUUCAUCUCUCUAUUUAAACUCCCUUUCCUUCUCUCAUUACACAAGCAAACACUUCAUUCUCAUUAUAGCAAAUAGUCAGAAGGUGGGUAAAAUUCCUUGCUUAGGGUUUGAAGCAAUACUUCAAAUCCUGUACACUCCAGGUAUGAUUCUUGCACUUACAUCUUUAGUUCAUUUAUCAUAAUAAACAAAUCGAAUAAGUAAAAGAUACAAAAUUGCAUGAAUAUUUCCUUUGCUUCUUGUCAACAAUAUCUGGGUUUGAUUUGAGCAGAAAUCGAGUACGCAUUAUCCUGGGGGAAGUCUGAGUAACCCAUGGACUAAGAAUGUUGUACUAAGGUGAUGAAUGAGAACGAAAAAUACUGUGCAAAAUCACCUUUAAAUAAGAAACACACAAAGUGUUUGAUGAAAUGCCUAAAAGAGGCUAAGAUUGAAAAAUGACCUGCGACGGUACGCAUCGACGGUACAUCGGUCUUGCGACGGACCAUCACUUGUCACCGUCGCACCUGAGCAGGCCACACCUUCACUGGAAUUAUUCGACGAUAGGGACCGAUGAACCAUCGCUUAUUCGAUGGAAUAUCACAACCCACCAUCGUACCUGACUCAGGAUCUUGGUCAUUGAAAGGGCUCCAAUGGUCAAGGUCGAUGCACCGUCGCAUGUGCGACGGAUCGUCGCACCUCACCGUCGCUGUUCAAAUAUUUUUCUUUCUUUUGAUUUCUCUUUUGUACUUUGAUAAUUGUUGUAUGUUAGGUACCAUGGCUCCAAAACGACCACAAGGAAGAGGCAAAGGCCAACAAUCAGGCCAAACCUCUAAUCCACCGGCCAGAAUAACUAGACAAAGUCGUCAUCCGAGAGUGUCUUCAUCCUCUUCAUCCGAAGAGGUCAUUGAGAGCAGUCACAAUAUUACCCCUAUUCCAGAUCCAGUCAAAGCAGGAGUGGAAGCAUCUAGCCCCGUUCAGGAGGAUGUUCCUUAAUAGAAGGAUCCAAACUUGAUUCGGCGCAAGGAUGCGCAGUUACGGGAAGCGAUAAGAUGGCAAGUGCCAGGAUAUCGUGAUGAGUUCUACAAGCAUUUUGAACCAACGGACAGGACGCAAAUCAAAAGGGAAAUUUUUAAAGAACACCAGAUAAUUACAACAACCCUCCAUGAAUACCCAGAACUGGAGCGACGAUUCCAAGACUACCAGCUAGAUUGGAUGAGUAGGCCACUUGGUGCCCACCAACUGAACUUGGUUAGGGAAUUCUUUGCCAACUAUUUGGCGUUGUUGAAGAAGGCUUUCCCAAAAGGUCGUUCACUAGCUGACCAAAACAAGUUAGAUAUAGUUCUAGACGCGACGUUGAUAUUGAUAUUUCUGAAAGGACACUGAAUAGAUUCUUGUUUGGGCCUGACUAUCAAAUCCCAGGGGCGAUUCCUGAUUUAGAGCACCGGCUAUUCACAAGGGUGAACAAAGGCCCUGGAUAGCAAGGAUUUUGAUAGAUGGAGGGGCUCCUUCAUGGCUACAUAACUCUCAUGAUCACAUAUCAAAGAAGUCCCUGAGCUUUUGAUCCAAAUUCUGGUGGGCAUUUGUGAGACUUAGGCUCAUGCCUACGGGUGGUGAUGAUUGAUUGGAAAGCACCAGAGUUGUACUUAAUGCUGCCUUGAUUGAGGGCUUCACAGUGGAUUUUGUUCACAUCAUCGCUGACCAGCUAUUCUUCCAUAUCCACAAGACUCACGCGGCAUUACCAUUUCCCUGCCUCAUCACCAAACUAUUCAAAAAGGCAAAUGUUCCGCUAAUAAGCAGAAUUGAUAAUGAGGUCCCGACGCUACAUAAAUAAGACAUAGAAAAGAUGAAAGAUGAGUCGAGGUUCGAUUUGAGGAAAAACAAGCUUCGGGCUCAACAGACUCAGUCUGCCCCGGUGCUGCUUGACACAUCAGCAUUUUCUGCAGGUAUGCCUAUGCCUUUAACUGUUUAUGCACCGCCUACCACCUCUUCAGGAUCAGCCUCCAUGCCGAUGGGCAGGAUCCCAGACUCUACAUCUGUCCGGCCCCUACCUUCAGAGUACAAGAUGAACCCUGACAACUUUGCAAAGAUGGUGCGUCGAGUUAAUAAGGUUGAAAAACAAAUAGCUAUUUGGGGAAAAAACUUCAAACCUUUUAUUGAGCGGAUCAUCGAAGAUGCAUUACGCCCAUAUAGAAAUAUUCAGCUCCGAAUGGAUAACAUGGAGGAGCGUGUCAAUAAGAGGUUAGCGGAGAAGUCUAUCCUCGAUUUUGCAAAUGUAAUUAAGGAAGUUAGAAAGAUGUGGACAGAUAUAGACGGGUUAAUUCAGAUACCACAGCAGCCCUCCGUUGAUCCUGUUCAGAUUCCCAGCGACAAUAACGAGGGUCUUGUUGAUCUUUUUGGAAAUCCAAUCAAGGACCAAGGCAAGCAAGCUGCAGAGACAAAUGAAACCACAGAGAGGGCAGUAAAUAAAUUAGCCAAACAAGAGGAAAGAAAAUGCCGGAUAGAAGCCAUAUCACCGAAAGAGUUGGAAGCAUUUGAGGUAAAGCGAGCGACCAAGAAAUCUAGGAAAUCAGAAGCAAGGGAGCAGAAAAGACAUAAGGAUGAAGCCGCAGGAGUAUCUACCAGUACUUCCCCAGCUAGGGAGAAAAUUUCAAAACCAACUCGAGAUGUGAUACCUCAAACGUGCCAUAGGGUGAGGAUGCAGGAGCCUCACCACAUCUCACAGAUGCCUCAGAUGAGUAAGAGGUGCACCACAAGUAUAUCCCAACCUUGUACUUACACUUUAUGCAUUGAGGAUAAAGCAUGUUUUUCUGUGAGGGUGGGAUGCACUUGUGCAUGCUAGGAUUCUGUUAUCAUUUUAAGUUUAAAUAAGUGACAGUGUUACUUUUGUUUUUAGGAUUAACUUUAAAAAAUUGCAAUUUUAUUUCUUUAAACUUAUGUUGCUAGUAAUGUUUAAUGAAAUAAAAGUGUUGUCAUGAAGUUGUUGUGUGGCAUCCUAUUACAAAUACAGAUAGCAAAUAACAUUGGCACUUAGUUGCUAUUGUGUGUGCGAGAAUUUGUAUUAGUUCUUGCAUAGUAGAAUACCUAGAACUUGCCUAGUUUAAUUGAUGUCUUUUUAUAGUUGAUUGGAUAGGAAGUGAUAGCAGGCCACAUUGUUCUUUUAGUCCACUUAGCCAAAAUAAACUACCCCACUAAAGAGUUUUUAUCACUUGCACCCCUUUUGAGCCUUUAGUAAAAAAAUUUCAAAUCCAAAUAGUUGUCAACAACUCUCCUUAGAGUAUUAGUACCUAACUCUGGCCCUGGCUCAACAUUGAGCAUUAUGCACUUUAACUUAGGUAAGACACCUAAGUUGUGGGUGGCUAGUGUCAAGAUACAAGUACCCAGGAAAGUUGGAUCAGAAUGUAAAAUAAAAGCAUUUUUCCUUGAGUUGUUCAAAGAUAUUGUGUACCUUAAAUGACUGCCUCAACAUAAGUUGAGGGUGGCUGAUGCUUGUAUAAAGGUUGUGAUUUGAAAGAGACUGGGUAAUAAAGGUUGUAAACAAAAUUAAUAAACUAACAAAUUGGAGCUGUAAAUAUGUUAAGGAAAGGAGAGUUUAGUAAUGAGUCAUUCCACCCAAAAAAAGAGUGUCCUCACCUUACCUGAAGCUUUGUUAUAAGCCGAUAUAAGACCUGCUUGAUCUUAAAACUCAGCUAUAUGGGGGGCAUACAUAGAUAAAGGCAAGCUUAUGGGUACAUAUGCUAUGUUAGUAACUUCUUUGAUGAGUGAGAGAGUUUUGACUUAUAUCCACAAAAUACUUUUGAGUGGUGGAUCUCUUACUGUGAGGGCAACAUGAGUCAUGAUUACUCCAACUAAUCUCUUUAGAUUGUUGUAUUCAUGUUUUAAUAGAGAAAUUGAAGUUUAAACAAUGCCAACUAUAGACUCUGACAUGUCUAAUCAGAUGAUUUGGGUGAUGAGUAAAUGAUUGUGGGAGAACUAGUUCGGUAGUAAAGGGCCUGUCAUUGUGUUGUCCUUAUUUGCAAUAUAGGUGCUGAGUUGCUUGAGGACAAACAACUGUCUUAAGUUGAGGGUGUUGAUGUUCCGGUAUUCGACGGAACAUUUUAGGCAUUUUCCUUAAGAUAAUUGAAUGUUUUCAAGCAACUAGUGUGUAUUUAACAUUGUAUUUUAGUGUUUUCAGAAUAAAAGCGAAGUGGAAGUGAUAACUUGGAAAAGCUGGGCAAAACAAAGGAAAAAUGACCUACAAUGGCACAGGCAACGGAACGUCGGUAUUGCAACGGACCGUCAAACAGGAUCGUCGACCAAAUCCAGAAGGACACCUUACUGGAAUCCAAGCGACGGUACGAUCCGACAGGACGUCGGACAUUCGAUGGACCGUCAAUUUACAC
rnacentral:lncRNA from 1 species